UUUAUUUUAGGUAGAGCUAAUGCCAACUUUGUUCAAAGAUGUAGUUGUAGCGUCAGCGUUUCUUCAGUAAUACGUGAGUAGUAGGACUUGCAGUUUUGCCGGAAAUCGAGAUAAGCCGUUUUUUAAGAAAACUAAAUACAUUAAAUUUACCGUACCAAAUGUCAAAAAUGUAAAUGCAAAUGUUUUGUUAAACGGAGAGGUGAUAGAACCGGUGGAAUCUGCUAUAUUUCUUGGCAUAACUCUAGAUUCCAAAUUACAAUGGGGCCCCCAUUUUGAAGGAUUGGCGAACAGACUUAGUUCUGCAGCAUACGCGGUUAACAAGAUUAGACAAUUAACUGACAUACGGCGCGACUAGUAUACUUUAGUUAUUUCCAUAGUAUUAUGUCCUAUGGUAUAUUGCUAUGGGGCACGCUGCUGAUAUUAAUACAAUAUUUGUGCUGCAGAAGAGGGCUAUUCGCGCUAUUUAUAACCUAGGUCCUAAAGAAUCAUUGAGAGCAAAGUUUAAAGAAAUUAACAUCUUGACUGUUGCUUCUCAAUAUAUUCUUGACAAAGUAAUGUAUGUUCAUAGGCACAUAAGUGAAUUUGCCAGAAACUGUCAUAAGCAUAAUGUUAACACCAGGAACAGACAUAAACUUAUGAUGCCUACUACUCGGCUAAGUCGAGUUAGUAAGUCUUUUGUGGGGCGAUGUAUAUGCUUUUACAACAAGAUCCCAGAAAAUGUUCAAAACAAAAGUAUAACGUUAUUCAAAAGAAUUGUGAAAAAUCGUUUGUGUGGUAAAGGUUACUAUAACAUAAAUGGCUUUCUUAAUGAUACCACAGAUUGGGAAUGGAGUGACAAUAAUAAGUUUAAUUGUACAAUAUUACUUUGUAAACAUAUUUAUUCGAUGAAAAAAAAAGCCCGCUGAGUUUGUUGCGCCCAUUCUUCUCAGGUCUGAGGCAUUCAUUUUGGAAUGGGUGGUAGUUUUUGACUUUCAAUAAGUGAUGUCACAUCCUAUUUUGAAUAAAAAUAUUUGAAUUUGAA